rfam:Picea glauca, whole genome shotgun sequence.
UAAUGUAAUUCCUACAACAUUAAUGCACUGGAUCCCAUUAGAACUUCGCAAUUAAACGUGCUUCGAUUAAAGUAGUACUGGGAUGGGUGACCUCCCGGGAAGUCAAGUAGUAUUUUAC